rnacentral:rRNA from 1 species
GUCGAGCGGGAACCUCAGGAGGGGUAACCCUUCUGAGGGGAGAGCGGCGAACGGGUGAGUAACACGUGGGCAACCUGCCCCGGACACCGGGAUAACCCAGGGAAACCUGAGCUAAUACCGGAUACUCCGGCGCGAUCGCAUGGUCGUGCCGGGAAAGCUCCGACGGUCCGGGAUGGGCCCGCGGCCUAUCAGCUUGUUGGUGGGGUAACGGCCCACCAAGGCGACGACGGGUAGCUGGUCUGAGAGGACGGCCAGCCACACUGGGACUGAGACACGGCCCAGACUCCUACGGGAGGCAGCAGUGGGGGAUCUUGCGCUAAUGCGCGAAAGCGUGACGCAGCGACGCCGCGUGGGGGAUGAAGGCCUUCGGGUUGUAAACCCCUUUCGGCAGGGACGAAGGGAAACUGACGGUACCUGCAGAAGAAGUCCCGGCUAACUACGUGCCAGCAGCCGCGGUAACACGUAGGGGACGAGCGUUGUCCGGAUUCAUUGGGCGUAAAGCGCGCGUAGGCGGCUCGGAAAGUCGGUCGUGAAAUGCCGGGGCUCAACCCCGGGACUGCGUCCGAUACUUCCGGGCUGGAGGUAGGUAGGGGAGAUCGGAAUUCCUGGUGUAGCGGUGAAAUGCGCAGAUAUCAGGAGGAACACCGGUGGCGAAGGCGGAUCUCUGGGCCUUACCUGACGCUGAGGCGCGAAAGCUAGGGGAGCGAACAGGAUUAGAUACCCUGGUAGUCCUAGCCGUAAACGUUGGGUGCUAGGUGUGGGCGGACAUCGACCCCGUCCGUGCC